AAGAAACCAUUGGAGAGGAUUUAUCGUCAGGGUUCUACUAUCCAGCAAACUGUUGAGGUUUUGCAGCAUACAUGACAAAGUUUGACUCACUUUGAUCAGAAGAGGGCUUAAGCAGGAAAAUCAUGUUCAGCCCCAGGAGGACUUCAGUGCCACUGUUGAAAAUAACUUAAUGUUCCAGACGAUGGAUAAUGACAUAGACAAAGGUUUUGAAAUCAGUGCACUGAACUUCUGCUAAUUUGCCCCAAGACUUUGAUCCUGCAAGCCCUCGAAUGCUUUUACCAGAAGAGGGCCGUGUUUCUGGGAAGGAAGAUGUGUUUUUCUACCCUGCCCAGUCACUUGAGAAGGAGGGGCAAGCUGAUGCAGUCUUCUGCCUCUGGCUCUAGUUAGUGGCACAACUUGUGUGUGUGUGUGCGCAUGCACGUGCACACAUUUAAUGUCACCUCACUACUGACCUGCUAGAUUGCUACAUGAUAGAAACUGAUAUCUGGAGAUUUCAAAUGUUUGCAUCAGCUGUGGCUCUGGCCUAUGAUAUUUUAGCUGUUGAAAAACAAGAAAAUGCUUCAGUAUUCUUCAAG